CGCAGUCCUGCACACUCACACAUCCACACGCGCGCACACAAACACAGAGCUCUUUAUGAAGAGAAAAUCAGGCUGGCGCUGCAAAAAUGCAGAGAAGAUCUUUCGCUAAAAUGAUCUCAAGUGAACAGAGAAAGCUAAUCUGGAAGUUUGAAUGCUCAAUGUCUCCUCCAAAAUUAUCCAGACUGCUUUUGUUUGCAGAAGUCAGAUUGUGCAAGCUAUUGGUAUGUGGCUUGUCCUGGUAAGUUAAGAAGAACAAUCUACUUGAGAGGCUUCCAAUUAUUCUUACUUCUGGUCAGGUUAGAUACACAAUUAGAUCAGAUCCCUGACAGGUUUUUGGCUUCUUCAGUUUCAGAUCAAGCCAUUAUUAGUCCAAGUGCAUGCAGAUGGAAAUGAUUUAUUUUCUGUUAGCUGUUACAUGAAUUUGAUUGUCAACAAGAUCUUUCUCAGCUUUCACCAAGGUUUGGAGUCAGUCUUUGCAUCUGAGGUGGGGUGUCCACCUCGGCCACCUCAGCCAGAUGAGUUUGUUUUGGCGGAGGCACCUCAGCUGAUCAAAACUCGCAGAACUUAGCUUGAUUCUGUCUGUGUGGACCUCUGAAACUGCACAUUUCACAGGAAAGGGACGUAUGGGCAGAGGUGACUCCUGGGAUUCUUCCUGCCUGCGGUUUCCUCUUCUGCUACUGCGCUGCCAGCUCUUCUCAAUAUAUUGCUGUUCCACUGGGCCUUGUCCUUUACUUUGUUGGCAAAUAAGGUAAAUGACCCCUAUUCUGGCUGUCCAUAUGCUGCUAACAUCGCUGGUUUUGUUUCAGCAAACUGCAUGAGGAUGGUAUAGACAGAUGCCAAAAAGAGGGCCCCCAUAAGCCCAACAGGCCCUGCUGUGAAUCACCAAAGUGCCAGGGUGAAGCAGUGGUUUGAUGGAGAGAAGAAAAAGGGUAGGGAAAAAGGUUGUAAAAGGAUGACUCUUGGCUAUGAAAGUCAUUUUGCCUGAGGUCAGGAAGGUUGAGAUGUUU